CUGUAUCUGUGAGGUAAUUCAUGGCUCUGGAUUUGGCUGUGAUGUGAUGAGAGUGGGAGACGAGUUUCAAAGUAUGCUGACUAUAGAGGGCAUUCAAAUAAAAAAAGAGCACUGCCUAUGUACAGGUCUAGUUUGAGUUUUGUUGUGAAGCACCGGAUUCAUUCAUACAUCAAAGGGAACCUAAGGCAUCAGAGCCCACAUAGACAGAAAACAAAGGCACUGUUUACAAGGCGGAAACUUGCUGAGAGAAGCAGCUGAGUUUUGCAAGGCUCACCCACUGACUGCCACCUUGGAGAGUGCCUUGGACUGCAGAAGUACAGUGGACUUCCAGUCCUCCAGUCCUUCACAAAACUUGGAGGAGCCCCUUGUCAGCAAGAAACUUUGACAGCUAUCACAGAACCCUGGCUACCUCUGCGUGUAAGUGACUUCUUGUGGUAUCACAGUAGACGUUUCUUCAAGGAGAUAUUCAGAAAAGAAAAGCACUUCACAUGUUCAUUAAACUACAGCAUUUUACUAGAAAA